rnacentral:rRNA from 1 species
GAUGAACGCUAGCGGGAGGCCUAACACAUGCGAGCCGAGCGGCAGAGUUUCUUCGGAAACUUGAGAGCGGCGCACGGGUGCGUAACACGUGUGCAACCUACCUUUAUCUGGGGGAUAGCCUUUCGAAAGGAAGAUUAAUACCCCAUAAUAUAAUGAUUGGCAUCAAUUAUUAUUGAAAACUCCGGUGGAUAGAGAUGGGCACGCGCAAGAUUAGAUAGUUGGUGAGGUAACGGCUCACCAAGUCAAUGAUCUUUAGGGGUCCUGAGAGGGAGAUCCCCCACACUGGUACUGAGACACGGACCAGACUCCUACGGGAGGCAGCAGUGAGGAAUAUUGGACAAUGGGUGAGAGCCUGAUCCAGCCAUCCCGCGUGAAGGAUGACGGUCCUAUGGAUUGUAAACUUCUUUUGUACAGGGAUAAACCUACCCUCGUGAGGGUAGCUGAAGGUACUGUACGAAUAAGCACCGGCUAACUCCGUG